UUUAUUCCAUUCUCAUAUACCCAUAAACACUGAAAAAGUAGCAAUCCCUCUACCAGAAAAUCGAUGGAAGUUCUUCCCUCUCAUAAGCUUCUUUCCCGAUUCUGUCUUCUCUUACCUCUCCAUAUCACCUCACUUCUGCUUCUCUCUUCAUCUUACUCUCCUCCUAAUAAUUACUUCAUCAAUUGUGGAGCGCACUCCAACACCAAUGUCGAUACCCGAAUCUUCGUUGGCGACCAAGGUUUCUUAGUUGGAAAGGGUGAAGCUAUCAAAAAUAGCAACUCAUCAGCAAGCACUUCACCUCUCUAUCGAGUGGCAAGAAUUUUCCGACACCAGGCUUCAUAUAAGUUCGACAUCAACCAGAAUGGUAUAUACAUUAUACGCCUUCAUUUCUUUGUUUUCAUGUCACCGUAUACUGAUCGUUCUAUUCCUCGGUUUAAUGUUUCGGCUUCUGGGUUUUCACUUUUGAUGAACUAUAGCUUCCAAAACGUUACUAAUUUUUUGAAGAUUGAGGAAUUCUUGCUCACCAUCCCAAAAGGUGAAUUUAAAAUCAAUUUCGUACCUUACGAGCCAUCUUUGGCUUUCGUGAAUGCCAUAGAAGUCGUUCUUGGCCCCGAGAGCCUCAUCCCCGAUAAGGUCCCUCACAUUACAUCUCAAGGAGCUAAGAGUGACUACAGUGGUUUGAGAACCAAGGUUCUUCAUAAAAUCCAUAGGAUUGAUGUUGGAGGUUCUGCAUCCAAGCUCGAUGAGUUAUGGAGGAAUUGGGAUUCAGAUGAUAAAUACCUAUACCCAAAAGAUGCCAUGUAUCAAUACAAAUUCGAAACGCCUUAUGACCAGGCCAAAAGGAUCCCCAAGUAUAUUACCCCAGCUUUUGUGUAUCAGACAAUCAGACGAUUGAAUAUAAGCAACAACUCCAGUUUACCAAAGGUAAGUUGGAGUUUUCCUGUCAAUAAGAAUUCUAACAACUUUCUUCGAGUCCAUGUCUCCGGCAUAAUAAGUGUAAGUACACUUAAUGACUGGUGGUUCAAUCUCUCUAUCAAUAGAAAUUUUAGUAAGGAGAUGAAUCCUUACGGUAUAACAGAGAGGAUCGGCGUGGAUCCAUUUCACAUCGAUUUUGUGGUUGAUUCAGAUGGGUUGGGAUUUGUGAAUGCUAGUAUCAUAAUCGGCCAAAUGGAGGGCUCUUGGAUAUAUAAUGCCCUUUUGACUGGGUUGGAGAUUCUUGAGGUAGUGAAUGAGUCGGGUUUCAUUCCUCCUAGGGAAAUUGUAGUAGGGAAAAAGAAACUUUCCCCUGCUAUAAUUGGUUCUACAUGUAUUGGGGCGUUUUUCAUUUUGGUAAUAUUGGUGGUGUUGGGUUUGAAAUUCAGGAAACUAGGGCAUGAUAAGAUUUUGGGUGGGUUUAGUUCGAAAAACAGGUUGACUCAAAGAGGUCCUAAUGCUUCCCUUGUCGAUCCUAGUCUAAAGCUUAGUUUAAGGGUACCUUUUUCUGAAAUACUGGGUGCAACGAGGAACUUCGAUGCCGAGUUAUUGAUUGGUGAGGGUGGAUUCGGGAAAGUGUACAAAGGAACUCUUAAAAAUGGCACGAAAGUGGCUGUGAAACGAAGUGAUCCACGACAUGGGCAGGGUCUAGAGGAAUUCCAAACGGAGAUCAUGGUGUUGUCUCGGAUUCAUCAUCGCCAUCUUGUUUCUCUGAUUGGAUAUUGCGAUGAACACCGUGAGAUGAUAUUGGUUUACGAGUUCAUGGAAAAUGGGAUUUUAAGAGACCACCUCUAUCAUUUAGAUGACAAUUCCGGGAAGUCAACUUCAGUGUCUGAAUUAUCUUGGGAGCAAAGAUUAAAAAUCUGCAUUGGUGCAGCAAAGGGCCUACACUAUCUACACACUGGCCCGGCUGGAGGAAUCAUUCACCGUGACAUGAAGCCAACAAACAUUCUACUUGAUAAACAUUAUGUGGCUAAAGUUGCCGAUUUCGGAAUUUCAAAAUCUGGCCUUCCCGAUCAAGACAACUUCACCAUGGGUGUAAAGGGUAGCUUUGGUUAUCUUGAUCCAGAAUACAUUAAAACCCUACACUUGACAGAGAAAUCUGAUGUAUACUCCUUUGGAGUUGUGCUUCUUGAAGUUCUUUGUGCUAGACCGGCUAUCAUAUCGUCAUCUCGGCUGGAUGAGGUGAACUUAGCAGAAUGGGGGAUACUGUGGCAAAAGAAAGGCCAACUCGAGAAGAUUAUUGAUCCGAUGCUUGUUGGUAACAUUAAGUCAAGUUCAUUGCGAGUAUUUGGUGAUACUGUAGAAAUGUGUUUGAAGGCAUUUAGUAUUGAGAGGCCGACUAUGCAGGAUGUGUUAUAUUACCUAAAUUAUGCACUGCAACUUCAAGAAACUGGGAUGCCCAAAGAGCCAUUUGAAGACAGCACGACGACUACCAUAACUUCAUUGGAUUUGCAGUUUCCGGUUGUUUUGAACUUUCCUGUUCAUGAAGAUGAUGAUGCACCCAAUAGAGGGGAUGAUAGUUCUAAUUUAGAGAUUAGUGAAGCUUAAGUCCAUUGGUUUGGGUCCAACGAUUGUGUGCAUGUUCACCUACUAGAUUGGAUUGGUUCGAAUCUAGCCAACACGUCCUUCAAGAAAAUUUUUCAUCAAGAGUGCUUGAGCUGGUGGGUUGCAUGCCUCGUGGACCUGCUGCAAGGCGCUGGUUGUGCCCUGCGUCUUGGGCUGGUUGGCCGCCUGCAAGCCUCAGGGGAUUUGCAUGGAAGAACUGACAAGACCGACUGAUGGGAAAGAAAAAUACUGGUCGUACCAACUACGGCGGUUCUCCGUCCCCCUAGCAGCGAGGUUCAUCUGAGAGUGUAGAGAGAAAAAGUGUUGCAGUCUGGGAGAGGAGAGAGAGAGAGAAUGAGACAAAACGGAGAAGAAGAGGGGAGAGGAAGAAGAUGAGCUCAAAUCGAAAUGACGCCA